rnacentral:lncRNA from 1 species
GUGCGAAAACCAAGAAUAAUGCUUAUUUGGGCCCUUUUUUUUGCCCCUAAUUCCUAAACUGUUAGAACCAAAACUCCCAAAAUCAGUCCCAACCUUCCUUUUGUGGUCAUAAACCUUGUGUCAAAAUUUCAUAGAUUUCUAUUUACUUAAACUUAAGUUAUUGUGCGAAAAAACCAAGAAAAUGCUUAUUUGGGCCCUUUUUGGCCCCUAAUUCCUAAAAUGUUGGGAUCAAAACUCCCAAAAUCAAUCCCAACCUUCCUUUUGUGGUCAUAAACCUUGUGUUAAAAUUUCAUAGAUUUCUAUUCACUUUUACUAAAGUUAGAGUGCGAAAACUAAAAGUAUUCGGACGACGACGCAGAUGACGACGCCAACGUGAUAGCAAUAUACGACGAAAAAUUAAAAUGUUUGCUGUCGUAUA